rnacentral:rRNA from 1 species
ACACUAUCACUCCUACGGGAGGCAGCAGUGAGGAAUAUUGGUCAAUGGAGGGAACUCUGAACCAGCCAUCCCGCGUGUAGGAAGACGGCCUUAUGGGUUGUAAACUACUUUUAUACAGGAAGAAACGUACCCUCGUGAGGGUUCCUGACGGUACUGUAGGAAUAAGCACCGGCUAACUCCGUGCCAGCAGCCGCGGUAAUACGGAGGGUGCGAGCGUUAUCCGGAUUUAUUGGGGUUUAAAGGGUCCGUAGGCGGGCGAUUAAGUCAGAGGUGAAAGCUUUCAGCUUAACUGAGAAAUUACCUUUGAUACUGAUUGUCUUGAAAUAUGUUGAGGUUAGCAGAAUGUGGCAUGUAGCGGUGAAAUGCAUAGAUAUGCCAUAGAAUACCAAUUGCGAAGGCAGCUAACUGGGCAUUAUUUGACGCUGAGGCACGAAAGCGUGGGAAGCGAACAGGAUUAGAUACCCUGGUAG